rnacentral:pre_miRNA from 1 species
ACACAAAAUCACAUUGGUGGAAGGCGUGGUAAAGAAACAAAAUCGAUGCUUCGAAAAUGUUACUUACAAAAGCAUUUUGGAGUUUCGAUUUUUUUUUUUUUUGCACGACUUCCACCAAUGUGAUUUCGCGC